rnacentral:rRNA from 1 species
GCACUGGCUAAAGUGGGCUUAUUGGAUGCGCAAAUUCCACCCCGUUACAGCACUUCUUAUUUCAAUCAUGUGUGGGGUGGCGGCUAUGCUGCAGGCUAUUACAGCUAUCUUUGGACCGAGGUUUUGGCCGAUAACAUUGCCGAUUGCUUUGCCAAGCGUGGCGCUUUGAAACGCGAAGUGGGGCAGGCGUUCCGCCAACAAGUGCUGAGCAAGGGCAACACCGAGGACUUAAUGCAAACCUUUACCCGCUUCACGGGGUUGAAAUCGCCCGAUACUUCGGCCUUAUUAAAGGCGCGCGGCUUAUAAAAAGAAAAGGCUUUUGCAUGGCGAACAUGCAAAAGCCUUUCUUUCAUUUGUUACAGAUGCUUAGCUCAAUGUAGCAACUAACAUCCAAACAUUCUUCUCUUGACCGGUCAAAUAGUCAUCCAUUAAGGCAACGGUUACUUCGUCCUCAGCUUCUUGUGCAGCAGCCAAUACACGACGUUCCUGUGCAAUAAUCACCUUCAACGUGUCCAAGAUGUAUUUCAAACCUUCCAUCUUCUCGGGCUCAAAACCAGCCUCUUUCAACUGACUCUGCUUCAAAUAUUCGCUGAAACGGUUCUCAGGACGAGCAUCCAAUUGCAGCAAACGUUCUGCAACCUCAUCCACUUUUGCAGCUGCAUCAUUAUACUGACCUUCAUAAUACUCAUGGAGUUGAUAGAAUUUAUCACCCUUAACGUUCCAAUGGAAACCACGAAGAUUAGCAUAAUAAACUUGGAAAUCAGCCAACAGUUGACUUAACUCUUUUACAACUUUCUCUACUUUCUUAGCAUCUAAGCCUGUGUAAUCUAAAUUUUUCAUAUCUCUAUAUUUUUAAAAAAUACAAUGUUUAUCUUUCUAUUUCGUUCUCUGUUGUGGCAAAGAUAGACAAAAACGAAUUGCAAGCCAAAUGAUUUUAUCAAUAAAAGUAUUUAUAGUAUAAAUCAAGAUCAUCAGCUAAGGCCCCUAAGAGGUGACUAAGUGGAAAAGGAUGUGGAGUUGCGUUGACAACCAGGAGGUUGGCUUGGAAGCAGCCAUCCUUGAAAGAGUGCGUAAUAGCUCACUGGUCAAGUGAUUCUGCGCCGACAAUUCAGCGGGGCUCAAGUUAUCCGCCGAAGCUGUGGCAUUCACGCGUUGUGGCCGGAAGGUUGCGUGGAUGGGUAGGGGAGCGUCGUGUGCGUGUUGAAGCGGUGGGGUGACCUGGUCGUGGAGUGCAUACGAGUGAGAAUGCAGGCAUGAGUAGCGAAUGACGGGUGAGAAACCCGUCCGCCGAAUAUCCAAGGGUUCCAGGGUCAAGUUAAUCUGCCCUGGGUUAGUCGGGACCUAAGGCGAGGCCGACAGGCGUAGUCGAUGGACAACGGGUUGAUAUUCCCGUACCGGCGAAACAACGUCCGUGCUGGGGCACGCGAUGCUAAGCAUGCGAGACUGUCUGCUGCCUUUCGGGGUGGUGGGUGGUUGAGUCUGUGAUCCGAGUGUGUAGUAGGCAAGCCGCGGAGGGACGCAGGAAGGUAGCUCAUCCUCAGCGUUGGUUGUCUGAGGCUAAGUGUGUAGGGUGGGGUGUAGGUAAAUCCGCAUUCCGUGAUGCCUGAGACACGAUGGGCCUGCACCGUUUGGGUGUGGGUUGAGUGAUCCUAUGCUGCCUAGAAAAGCUUCGUUGGCGAGUUGUUAGCCGCCCGUACCCUAAACCGACACAGGUGGAUAGGUAGAGAAUACCGAGGCGAUCGGGAUAAUCGUGGUGAAGGAACUCGGCAAAAUACCCCCGUAACUUCGGGAUAAGGGGGACCUGAUACGUGACCAGCCUUGCGUUGUGAGCGUUGAGGGUCGCAGAGACCAGGCCCAAGCGACUGUUUACUAAAAACACAGGUCCGUGCCAACUCGUAAGAGGAUGUAUACGGACUGACUCCUGCCCGGUGCUGGAAGGUUAAGGGGAACUGUCAGCCGCAUUUUGUGUGGUGAAGCGGUGAACUUAAGCCCCAGUAAACGGCGGUGGUAACUAUAACCAUCCUAAGGUAGCGAAAUUCCUUGUCGGGUAAGUUCCGACCUGCACGAAUGGCGUAACGACUUCCCUGCUGUCUCAACCACAGGCCCGGUGAAAUUGCAGUACGAGUAAAGAUGCUCGUUUCGCGCGGCAGGACGAAAAGACCCCGGGACCUUUACUAUAGCUUGGUAUUGGUGUUUGGUCAUGCUUGUGUAGGAUAGGUGGGAGACUGUGAAACCGCAACGCUAGUUGUGGUGGAGUCGCAGGUGAAAUACCACUCUGGUGUGAUUGGGUACCUGAACCUUGGCCCGUGAUCCGGGUUGGGGACAGUGCCUGGUGGGUAGUUUAACUGGGGCGGUUGCCUCCU